CGAAGGCAUCACUUUCAAUCACCCAAAUCCGAUUCCGUCGUAAACUAAGAUCUUCCAAAGCUUGCUGAUAUUUGAAAGAAUUUUUCCCAAUGGCUUCUAUCAGAUUGUUUUCCAGAGAUAACUUUGUCACAUUGCGGAGUUUCCUUAGAGCUUCCGGAAUAUAAUGAAUUUUAUUGAAGCCUAACUCAAGACCUUCUAAAGAUACUAAAUGUGAAAAUACAAGAGGGUGGAUUUCGAAGAUGUUGCAAUGGGAGAUGUCCAACGAAAUGAGAUUUAACAGACCUCUGAAAGUGUGAGCAUGGAGGUAGGUCAAUCUUGAAUUCUUUCUAAGAUUCAACUCUCUUAAAUUGCUAAGUGAAAUAAAUGCUCCAGGAUACAGAAAGGUUAGAUUAUUUUGGCUUACCCAAAGGACUUGAAGAGAAGGGACAUUCUUGAAUUCGUUGAACAUCAGAAUUCGUAAAUAAUUGCCUUCUAGGUUAAGUGAAAUGGUUGAAGCAGGUAAAUCGUGAGGAAGUUUUUUGAAUCCCAGCUUAGUGCAGGAAAUGUCAUCAUCAGAAGUGCAGUGGCACAGGUCAGGGCAUGUCACAUUAAGAGGGUCAUCUCCGAUCAAGCCACCAAAAAUACACCCAUGUAGAAUAACUGCAAACAUGGAAUACUGGAUAUUUGGAAUUCCAAAAAGAAAAAAUCUAUAUGGUUGGAACAUGGUGGAGAUUGGAAAUGUGUAUUUUUUGGGGAUUGGUGGGACUUGUCACUCUGCACCUCAAACAAAACUAAUGAUGACGCAGUUCUUAGACAGGUUUAAGCUGCUUAUUUGCUCCCGUGCCGUCGUACAUAUUGACUUUAUUUUACAAUGGGAUGGGACAGUCUUUUGCAGAGUCUUCCUAAGCAUCAAUUUCUUUACAUGGCACAAUUUUAGUCUACAAAGUCUACAAUUGUACUUUAUAACUUUAAAUGUAUACUUUUUUUAUACUGUUAAGUACAGUGUGUACAAAUUAUUUGCCAAG